rnacentral:rRNA from 1 species
CGAACGGGUGAGUAAUACAUAAGUAACCUGCCCUAGACAGGGGGAUAACUAUUGGAAACGAUAGCUAAGACCGCAUAGGUACGGACACUGCAUGGUGACCGUAUUAAAAGUGCCUCAAAGCACUGGUAGAGGAUGGACUUAUGGCGCAUUAGCUGGUUGGCGGGGUAACGGCCCACCAAGGCGACGAUGCGUAGCCGACCUGAGAGGGUGACCGGCCACACUGGGACUGAGACACGGCCCAGACUCCUACGGGAGGCAGCAUG